AGCUCCAAUAGCGUAUAUUAAAGUUGUUGCAGUUAAAAAGCUCGUAGUUGGAUUUCGGAACCGGCCGAUUGGUCCGUCCUCUGGAUCGUGUACUGAUCGGUCUGUUCUUCUUCGCGAAGACCGCGUGUGCCCUUAACUGGGUGGGCGCGGGAUUCGCGACGUUUACUUUGAAAAAAUUAGAGUGUUCAAAGCAGGCAGUCGCUUGAAUAUCUCAGCAUGGAAUAAUAGAAUAGGACUUUGGUCUUAUUUUGUUGGUUUCCGAGACCGAAGUAAUGAUUAAUAGGGACAGUUGGGGGCAUUCGUAUUUCAUUGUCAGAGGUGAAAUUCUUGGAUUUAUGAAAGACGAACUUCUGCGAAAGCAUUUGCCAAGGAUGUUUUCAUUAAUCAAGAACGAAAGUAG
rnacentral:rRNA from 1 species